AUCCAACUUGCAAGGCCGAGAGAGAGAGAGAGAGUAUAGGAAUGAGGUCCAAGAAAACUCCGCUUGGAGCAGCGCUCGCUUUCUUCAUCAUUUUCUUCUCGCAGUAAAAUCCUGUCGCAGAAGAUGAUGCGGAUAAGGCCUCGCAUGGGUCGCUCUCGGACAUUCCAGAACAGAGGUCUGGAACACCCAAGACAGUAACGAUCAAAGUGGGUCCACUGAUGAGCAAACUGAGGCCAAGAAAGGAGGGGAAGCAGAGAAGAGUUCUGUAGCAUUGGCAUUUGAAAAGUUUAAGCACACUGAUAAAAGAAAAAAGCAAUCUACAGUUUCACGAAGUGGUGGUGAAGUAGAAUGUCCUGACGAAGAUGAUUUACCAGAAUCAAGAAAAAGGAGACACCCUUGUAAAGGUCUUAUGCCUUUGAGUGCACUAACUCUCAAGCAAGAUAAUUUACACUCGUGCUAUAUGAUUAUGGGGAUGACAAACACACUGCGAGAAAGUAUUUUGCAGUUCUUGGAGGUGAUCUAAAACCCAAGCUAAAAGGGAGAAGGGCUGAGAGUCUCAUAGGCUAGGAGAAACUAGGACAUGUUUAUGAUCACUCAAAUGAAAAUGGUUGUGGCUGGUGGGACUGCAAUAUGGAGGGUAUUGACAAUGAAGAAGUUGGUGUCAAUGAUGUGUGGGAAGGAGUGGGCUCAACCACAUUGGGAGGACUAGAGUGGCAUUGAAUCAUUGAUCUUUACUAUAAAUUACCAGUAUUAUCAAGUAAAAGCUAUAGAUCUAAAGCGACAGAUAUGUCAUGUAGUUUAAAAGUCACUUUAACAUGAAGAAGUGAAGAACUGUAUUUGGAAUGCUUAUCUUGAUUCAGAAUUUGGUUAACUUUUAUGUGACAAGAGCUCUUUUGUUUUAAAUGAAUGUUUUUUUUUG